ACCGUUCAAUGAUGAGGCCUUGCAAGAAGCGCCGGGCACGGCGCCCGACACGAAUGAGGAUAUCUUGCUGCCUUCCUGCUGAGAACGGU